rnacentral:rRNA from 1 species
AUGCUCUUACCCUCUGUCACGCACGCCUGCGAGCAACGCCGAGAGCCGAACCCCCUCCCUACCGAUUUAGACGACCACCUUGGCCGGCGGCACCACGAUGGGGCUCCGCACGACGUGCUCGGGGGAGACCCACUUGAGGUUCCCCUCGGCGCCGGCGACGGCCGGCUGCGUCCCGGCCCACCGCACGGUCACCGUGAAGCUCUGCCUCUCGUUCACCUUGGAGAACCGCAGCAUGGGCGGGCGCACCGUGACCGACACCUCCUUCGGCAUGUCCACCACCGCCGUGUACACGGAGUUCGCCUUGCCCACGUUCUUCACGGUGCGGCGGACGGUGAUCGGCUGCGACAGCAGCUUCACCACCAGCGACGGGUAGUUGAGCUCCGCCUCCGUGAUGGGCUUCAGCUUGGCGCAGUCCACGCGGCGGUGCACGAUCUCCUUCACGCCGUCGUCGCCGUAGCCCAGCCCGCACAGGUACGGGAUGUAGUCGUUGGGCGAGAGGUCGUAGACCAGGCCCGGGUCCACGGCGCGCGACGGGUUCACGUACCCGGCGCCCAUGGUGAAGAAGCUCGCCCGGCGGUACUGCUCGUCCUUGACCGGCACGCCGGCCUUGUCCGCGGGGUCCGAGGAGGUCAUGAGCGCCGACUUGAUCGCCGCCGGGGACCAGCUCGGGUGCAGGCUCUUGAUGACGGCGGCGAUGCCGCUCAGGUGCGGGGUGGACAUGGACGUGCCGGACUCCAUGAAGAAGGCCAGGCUCACGUCGUCGACGAACUCCGGGUGCAUCUCGCUCGGCGCCCACGCGGCGAGGAUGUUCAUCCCCGGCCCGCUGAUGUCCGGCUUCAGGAUGCCCGGGCUGGCCUUGCUCGGCCCGCGGGAGGAGAAGAAGGCCACCGUCGGGGCGGGGGAGAUGCCCAGCACCGUGCCCUUGAACGUGAUGCUCGCCGUGGGGUUGGGCGUGGACCUGAAGUAGGCGGUGAUCUUUGA